CCUACGGGAGGCAGCAGUGAGGAAUAUUGGUCAAUGGUCGGGAGACUGAACCAGCCAAGCCGCGUGAGGGAUGAAGGUACAGAGUAUCGUAAACCUCUUUUGUCAGGGAACAAAGGCGGGGACGUGUCCCCGGAUGAGUGUACCUGUAGCAAACGCAUCGGCUAACUCCGUGCAAGCAGCCGCGGUAAUACGGAGGAUGCGAGCGUUAUCCGGAUUUAUUGGGUUUAAAGGGUGCGCAGGCGGUCUGUUAAGUCAGCGGUCAAAGCCCGGGGCUCAACCCCGGCCCGCGGUUGAAUGUGGCAGACUCGAGUUGGAGAGAGGUAUGCGGAAUGCGCGGUGUAGCGGGGAAAUGCAUAGAUAUAGCGCAGAACUCCGGUGGCGAAGGCAGCAUGCCGGCUCCACACUGACGCUGAGGCACGAAAGCGUGGGUAGCGAACAGGAUUAGAUACCCCGGUAGUC
rnacentral:rRNA from 1 species